CACGCCGUAAACGAUGGAUGCUAGCCGUCGGCAAGCUUGCUUGUCGGUGGCGCAGCUAACGCAUUAAGCAUCCCGCCUGGGGAGUACGGCCGCAAGGUUAAAACUCAAAGGAAUUGACGGGGGCCCGCACAAGCGGUGGAGCAUGUGGUUUAAUUCGACGCAACGCGAAGAACCUUACCAGCUCUUGACAUUCACUGAUCGCCUGGAGAGAUCCGGGAGUCCUAGCAAUAGGCAGUGGGACAGGUGC
rnacentral:rRNA from 1 species